UGUGACUUCGACAAUAAAGUUGAUGGUAUUAAGAAAGGAGAGAUUGGAUGGGAUGAAGCAUGGGAACUUUCUGACAUCCGUGAA
rnacentral:tRNA from 1 species